rnacentral:rRNA from 1 species
CCUACGGGAGGCAGCAGUGAGGAAUAUUGCACAAUGGGCGAAACCCUGAUCCAGCGACGCCGCGUGAGUGAAGAAGUAUUUCGGUAUGUAAAGCUCUAUCAGCAGGGAAGAAAAUGACGGUACCUGCUUAAGCAGCCCCGUCUAACUACGUGCCAGCAGCCGCGGUAAUACGUAGGGGGCAAGCGUUAUCCGGAUUUACUGGGUGUAAAGGGAGCGUAGACGGCAGCACAAGUCUGGAGUGAAAUGCUGGGGCUUAACCCCGGAACUGCUGUUGAAACUGUGGAGCUUGAGUGCAGGAGAGGUAAGUGGAAUUCGUGGUGUAGCGGUGAAAUGCGUAGAUAUUAGGAAGAACACCGAUGGCGAAGGCGGCUUACUGGACUGCAACUGACGUUGAGGCUCGAAAGCGUGGGGAGCAAACAGGAUUAGAUACCCUAGUAGUC